rnacentral:rRNA from 1 species
UACGGAGGGAGCUAGCGUUGUUCGGAAUUACUGGGCGUAAAGCGCACGUAGGCGGCUUUGUAAGUUAGAGGUGAAAGCCCGGGGGCUCAACUCCGGAACUGCCUUUAAGACUGCAUCGCUUGAAUCCGGGAGAGGUGAGUGGAAUUCCGAGUGUAGAGGUGAAAUUCGUAGAUAUUCGGAAGAACACCAGUGGCGAAGGCGGCUCACUGGACCGGUAUUGACGCUGAGGUGCGAAAGCGUGGGGAGCAAACAGG